rnacentral:rRNA from 2 species
UGCAAGUCGAGCGGGCUGAUUUAAAUCGUGUCUUCUAUGUCGUUGCCGGCGGGCGGGUGUGCUCACGUGUCUGACCUGUCUGGGGGACUGGGACUCUUCAGGGAACCUAUCUAAUACCGGUCCUGAUCUUCACCUUCAUGGACCUUGAUUGCUUGAUGGUUUCGGCUAUCCCUUACAGAUGGACCCACGUGGCGUUAUCUAGGUGGUGAGGUAACAGCUCACCUAGGGAACCUUACAUGAUCAACCUGCGAGGGUGAUCUGACACACUGGCCCUGCUCCUCCGGCCAGACUCCUACGGGAGGCAGCAAUAAUGAAUCUUCCCCUGUGCACGAAAUGCUGACUGAGCAACGACGCGUGUUUGAUUAAGGCUUUCUUUUCGUAAAACUCUGGUGUCCGGGAAGAACACUCUCGAAAGUUGCUGCUCGCUCCUUGACUGUACCUCACCUAACUGUCACGGCUAACUACCUGCCAUCCACCGCGGGCAUGCGUAAGUGGCAUGUGCUGUCCGUAAUUAUUGGGCGUAAAGCGCGCUCAGGCGGAUGCUUAAUUCUGAUGCUUAAGCCCACGAAUUCAAUCGUGUACUGUCAUUGGAAACUGUGGAACUUGAUUGCAGAAUACCAGGUGUGAAUUCCACAAUGUAGCAGAGAAAUGCGUAAAGAUGUAUGAGCGAACACCAGUCAUCGUAGGGCUGCUUCUGUGGUCUGAAACUCGACACUGAUGGCGCAGCAAGACGUGGAGUAGCAA